rnacentral:rRNA from 1 species
GAUUGAACGCUGGCGGCAUGCUUUACACAUGCAAGUCGAACGGCAGCGCGGGCUUCGGCCUGGCGGCGAGUGGCGAACGGGUGAGUAAUACAUCGGAACGUGCCCAGUAGUGGGGGAUAGCUCGGCGAAAGCCGGAUUAAUACCGCAUACGACCUGAGGGUGAAAGCGGGGGAUCUUCGGACCUCGCGCUAUUGGAGCGGCCGAUGGCAGAUUAGCUAGUUGGUGGGGUAAAGGCCUACCAAGGCGACGAUCUGUAGCUGGUCUGAGAGGACGACCAGCCACACUGGGACUGAGACACGGCCCAGACUCCUACGGGAGGCAGCAGUGGGGAAUUUUGGACAAAGGGCGAAAGCCUGAUCCAGCAAUGCCGCGUGUGUGAUGAAGGCCUUCGGGUUGUAAAGCACUUUUGGCGGGAACGAAAAGGACUGUGCCAAUACCACGGUUCGAUGACGGUACCCGCAGAAUAAGCACCGGCUAACUACGUG